rnacentral:rRNA from 1 species
CCCUUAGAUGUUCUGGGCUGCACGCGCGCUACACUGAUGCGCUCAACGAGUUUAUGAACUUGCCCGGAAGGGUUGGUUAAUCUUUUUAAAACGCAUCGUGAUGGGGAUAGAUUAUUGCAAUUAUUAAUCUUCAACGAGGAAUUCCUAGUAAGCGCAAGUCAUCAGCUUGCAUUGAUUACGUCCCUGCCCUUUGUACACACCGCCCGUCGCACCUACCGAUUGAAUGGUCCGGUGAAAUCUUGGGAUUUUGUUUUGUUUGCAUUUAUUUGUAUCGAGACGAGAGAACUUGAGUAAACCUUACCAUUUAGAGGAAGGUGAAGUCGUAACA